rnacentral:piRNA from 1 species
UGUGAAGGCUACCACCACAAUAGGUCC